rnacentral:rRNA from 1 species
AGCUAAUAGAUACCCGGGUAGUCCUGGCAGUAGACGGUGCGCGUUUGGUGUGGGAGGAUUCGACCCCUUCUGUGCCGGAGCUAAACGCGUUAAACGCGCCGCCUGGGGAGUACGGUCGCAAGAUUAAAACUCAAAGAAAUUGACGGGGGCCCGCACAAGCGGUGGAGUAUGUGGCUUAAUUCGAUGCAACGCGAAGAACCUUACCUAGCCUUGACAUGCAUCUCUAAGUCGGUGAAAGCCGGCGAGUGUAGCAAUACACAAUUUGCACAGGUGCUGCAUGGCUGUCGUCAGCUCGUGUCGUGAGAUGUUGGGUUUAAGUCCCGCAACGAGCGCAACCCCUGUGAACUGUUGCCACCGGGCCUUGGCCGAGCACUCUGUUCAGACUGCCCUGUGAACGGGGUAGGAAGGUGGGGUAGUGACGUCGAAGUCAGCAUGGCCUUACGGCUAGGGCUGCACGCGUACUACAAUGCUCAGUACAG